GUGGGAAACGAUGUGGGAAGGCCCAGACAGCUAGGAGGUUGGCUUAGAAGCAGCCAUCCUUUAAAGAAAGCGUAAUAGCUCACUAGUCGAGUCGGCCUGCGCGGAAGAUUUAACGGGGCUUAAGCCAUGUACCGAAGCUGCGGAUACGUGUUUACACGUAUGGUAGAGGAGCGUUCUGUAAGCCUGUGAAGGUGUGUUGUAAAGCAUGCUGGAGGUAUCAGAAGUGCGAAUGCUGACAUGAGUAACGAUAAAGGGGGUGAGAGGCCCCCUCGCCGAAAACCCAAGGUUUCCUGCACAACGCUAAUCGGUGCAGGGUUAGUCGGCCCCUAAGGCGAGGCAGAAAUGCGUAGUCGAUGGGAAUCCGGUUAAUAUUCCGGAACUACUUAUUAUUGCGAUGGGGUGACGGAGAAGGCUAAAUCAUCCGGGUGUUGGUUAUCCCGGUUUAAGCGUGUAGGGAGUUGGUUUAGGUAAAUCCGGACCGACAAUCCUGAGACGUGAUGACGAGUCUCCAUGUGAGAUGAAGUGAUCGAUGCCAUACUUCCAGGAAAAACCUCUAAGCUUCAGGUAAUAAGUAACCGUACUCCAAACCGACACAGGUGGGUAGGGUGAGAAUCCUAAGGCGCUUGAGAGAACUCUGGUGAAGGAACUAGGCAAAAUAGUACCGUAACUUCGGGAGAAGGUACGCCCUUGGUAUGUGAAGAGACUUGCUCUCGGAGCAGAAGAGGGUCGAAGUGACCAGGUGGCUGCGACUGUUUAUUAAAAACAUAGCACUCUGCAAACUCGAAAGAGGAAGUAUAGGGUGUGACGCCUGCCCGGUGCCGGAAGGUUAAUUGAUGGGGUUAGUCCUCGGACGAAGCUCUUGAUCGAAGCCCCGGUAAACGGCGGCCGUAACUAUAACGGUCCUAAGGUAGCGAAAUUCCUUGUCGGGUAAGUUCCGACCUGCACGAAUGGCGUAACGAUGGCCACGCUGUCUCCACCAGAGACUCAGUGAAAUUGAAAUCGCUGUUAAGAUGCAGUGUACCCGCGGCUAGACGGAAAGACCCCGUGAACCUUUACUACAGCUUUGCACUGGACUUUGAAUAUGUCUGUGUAGGAUAGGUGGGAGGCUUCGAAGCGGAGACGCCAGUCUUCGUGGAGCCAACCUUGAAAUACCACCCUGACAUAUUUGGAGUUCUAACCUCGACCCGUUAUCCGGGUUAGGGACAGUGUAUGGUGGGUAGUUUGACUGGGGCGGUCUCCUCCCAAAGAGUAACGGAGGAGCACGAAGGUACCCUCAGCGCGGUCGGACAUCGCGCAACGAGUGCAAAGGCAUAAGGGUGCUUGACUGCGAGACAGACAAGUCGAGCAGGUACGAAAGUAGGUCUUAGUGAUCCGGUGGUUCUGUAUGGAAGGGCCAUCGCUCAACGGAUAAAAGGUACUCCGGGGAUAACAGGCUGAUACCGCCCAAGAGUUCAUAUCGACGGCGGUGUUUGGCACCUCGAUGUCGGCUCAUCACAUCCUGGGGCUGAAGUCGGUCCCAAGGGUAUGGCUGUUCGCCAUUUAAAGUGGUACGCGAGCUGGGUUUAGAACGUCGUGAGACAGUUCGGUCCCUAUCUGCCGUGGGCGUUUGAGAUUUGAGGGAAGCUGCUCCUAGUACGAGAGGACCGGAGUGGACGUAUCUCUGGUGUUCCGGUUGUCACGCCAGUGGCAUCGCCGGGUAGCUAAAUACGGACAGGAUAACCGCUGAAAGCAUCUAAGCGGGAAGCCCCUCCCAAGAUUAGAUCUCACUGGACCUUUAAGGUCCCUGAAGGGCCGUUGAAGACUACAACGUUGAUAGGCUGGGUGUGGAAGUGCAGUAAUGUAUGAAGCUAACCAGUACUAAUUGCCCGUGAGGCUUGACCAU
rnacentral:rRNA from 1 species